AGGAUAAACGCUGGCGGCGUGCCUAACACAUGCAAGUCGAACGCGCUUUCGGGCUUCGGUGCGAGAGCGAGUGGCGGACGGGUGAGUAACACAUGGGUACCUGCCUUUCAGUGAGGGAUACCGGCGAGAAAUCGCCGACAAUACCGCAUGGGCUUGUGGGAACACAAGCAAAGUGGCGCAAGCCACGCUGGAAGAUGGGCCUGUGGCCGAUUAGCUAGUUGGGGGGGUAACGGCCUCCCAAGGCGACGAUCGGUAGCUGGUCUGAGAGGACGAUCAGCCACACUGGGAUUGAGAACGGCCCAGACUCCUACGGGGGGCAGCAGUGAGGAAUUUUCCGCAAUGGGCGCAAGCCUGACGGAGCAACGCCGCGUGCAGGAAGACGGUUUUCGGACCGUAAACUGCUUUUCUCGGGGACGAGAACGGACGGUACCCGAGGAAUCAGCCCCGGCUAACUACGUGCCAGCAGCCGC
rnacentral:rRNA from 1 species